rnacentral:tRNA from 1 species
GACUAUAAAGCAUAAUACAUCUAAUGCAUCAAUUUGCAAAAUUGAAAACUGUAAAUCCAAUUACUAUCGUCU